AAGGUUAGGUAGGUAGAUUGAGAGAGAGAGGCCGAUUUAAGAAGAAUCAAGAGGCUUCUUCUUCUUGCUUGCUUCAAAGUUUCUUGAUUCACUAAUACAGAAAUGGAGAUGCAAUUUGCUAGGCCCGCCAACGAUAAAGCCAUGUUGAAAUCCGAUCACGAAACCCCACAUGGCCAUUUCUCUGUUUUGUGAUCGUUGAAGGGUUAUGCCUUCACCCAUCGCUGUUCUUGCUCUACUGCUCAUCUUUCAAUCUGCGAAUGCUAAUGAUCUCGUUCUGGGCGGAAGCAGGCUCUUUCUGAUCAUGAUGAUAGUGACUACUUCCAAGUUUCUCCCCUUCAUUAUACCCAAAUCUUGUCGAUGGGUCGACUGUGGAGGCGGUUCGUGCAACAAGACGUUGCGGUUGGCAUACAAAUGUGAUUGUUUGAAGGGCUAACACUGCCUUUCCAUGCUUAUUCUGAGUUGUGUUUGAUACUCAAUUUGACGGCUCAAUGAGUAUGGAUUCCAAGGACCCUUCUGCUACAAAUAACAACAAUGCUGCUAGCAGAUUAUUUCUCAUCGAGGUUCGCUCGAUGAUAACGUAUGUAGCUACGCUGCUGCUUCUGCUGAACAAAUAGACCGACGAACGUGGUGGCGGUGCCAUAUGACUGUAGUUUGAUUAUGUGUAAGGCCUCCAUUUCUAUAGAAUAAGUUUCCCAUUUUGUGUUCUCUGUGAAUUUAUGAGUAUGAGUUUGAUAGCAAAUGCAAAUGACUUUUGAGAUAAAUUGGCUUGGUGAGAAUCAAAUCAAAGAGACGAGAAAGAGGGCGAAACGGAGAGAAGCCAUUAAAAUGCAGAGAGAGAGCUUGAUUGAUUGGAAAUGAAGAGAAGCCCAUCACGAAGUCUUCGAAUCAAAUCCGACGUCGAAAACGAAGCAGCAGCGGCAGCAGGCACUUAUAGAGUUCUCAAUCAGUUCAUCUCCCACAACCUGUCCCAUCUCAUUAUUGUAUGCAUCUAUCCUCAUCAUUAUUAUCAGAUCAGAUCAGAUCAGAUUGUCCCCCUUGAUGUACGGCGCCGCCGUGUACCGCCCCACUCCCUCCGACACUUCGUCGUGCUCUUCCCUUUCUCUAUUAUAUAUAUUCAGCCAUUUCGGAUUAGCGAUUUUUCCCAGCAAUUUUACUUCAUCUAAUAAUUUCUAAUUUUUAA